rnacentral:miRNA from 1 species
UCACAGUGGUUAUAUACUGCCUGU